rnacentral:rRNA from 1 species
GAUGAACGCUGGCGGCGUGCUUAACACAUGCAAGUCGAACGGAAAGGCCCUGCGCUUGUGGGGUUCUUGAGUGCCGAACGCGUGAGUGACACGUGAGUAUCCUGCCCUUGUCUUUCGGAUAACUUCAGGAAACUGGGGCUAAUAUCGGAUAGGAUCUCCUGCUGCAUGGUGGGGGUUGGAAAGUUUCGGCGGUUGGGGAUGGACUCGCGGGUUAUGAGCUUGCUGGUGGGGUAGUUGCUUACCAAGGGUUUGACGGGUAGCCGGCCUGAGAGGGUGACCGGGCUCAAGAGGACUGAGGGAGGGCGCAGACUCGAACGGGAGGCAACGGUGGGGAGUCUGGCACAAUGGGCCCAAGCGUGUUGCAGAGGCGCCGCGUGCGGAAAGACCUCCUUUGGGUUAAGAACCGCUGUCGCCUGAGACGAAGCGUUCGUGACGGUAAUGAAUAAAGAAGCACCGGCUAACUACGUG